ACUGGGCGUAAGGGCUCCAGGCGGUUUCUUAAGUCUGAUGUGAAUCCCCCGGCUCAACCUGGGAGGGUCAUUGGAACUGGGGAACAUGAUCUCGUAGAGGGGGGUGGAAUUCCACGUGUAGCGGUGAAAUGCGUAGAGAUGUGGAGGAACACCGGUGGCGAAGGCGACUCCCUGGACUAUAACUGACGCUCAGGAGCGAAAGCGUGGGGAGCAAACAGGAUUAGAUACCCUGGUAGUCCACGCUGUAAACGAUGUCUGCUUGGAGGUUGGGGGUUUCAGCCCCGUAUUGCUGAGCUUACCCCUUUAAUCAACCCCCCGGGGAAUAACGGCCCCAGGAUUGAACUCCAAUGAAUUUGACGGGGGCCCCCCCAACCGGGGAACCUGGGGUUUAAUUUCAUGCCACCCCAAAAACCCUUACCCAGUUCUGACCUUCAUAGAACAAUCCAGAGGAUAGGAGGUCCCUUUGGGAGGUAGAAGGCCGGUGGGGCCAGGGUGUUGUUCAGUUGGGGUGGGAAAAGGUGGGGUAAAUUCCGCCACGGGGGCCACCCUUUUCUUUUGGUGCCCGGCGUUCGGCCGGGCACUCAAAGGAGACUGCCGGUGAUAAACCGGAGGAAGGUGGGGAUGACGUCAAGUCAUCAUGCCCCUUAUGACUAGGGCUACACACGUGCUACAAUGGACAGAACAAAGGGCAGCGACCUCGCGAGAGCAAGCCAAUCUCACAAAUUAGUUCUCAGUCCGGAUCGCAGUCUGCAACUCGACUCCAUGAAGUCGGAAUCGCUAGUAAUCGU
rnacentral:rRNA from 1 species